rnacentral:rRNA from 1 species
CACGGUGAAUACGUUCCCGGGCCUUGUACACACCGCCCGUCACACCAUGGGAGUGGGUUGCAAAAGAAGUAGGUAGCUUAGCCUUCGGGAGGGCGCUUACCACUUUGUGAUUCAUGACUGGGGUGAAGUCGUAACAAGGUAACCGUAGGGGAACCUGCGGUUGGAUCACCUCCUUA